rnacentral:tRNA from 2 species
GGGCCGCUAGCUCAAUUGGCAGAGCAAGGGACUCUUAAUCCCUAGGUUCAAGGUUCGAUUCCUUGGCGGCUCACCA